GCCAGCGGCAAGAACAUGUUAAAUUCACCUGUUCCCGGGUUGGCGGAUCACUGAAGUAACAUUGUGCGUGGUUAUCAUCUGGAUGGGUAACCGUUUGGGAGGAAACACGUCCUGCUGGCU
rnacentral:rRNA from 1 species